rnacentral:lncRNA from 1 species
AGAUAUUUGGGAUAAUAAAUCAAAUCCAGCGGAGCGUGACCAAAGAUUUUAUUUUUAGCUUUUGUUUUAAUUUUAUUAUUAUGUGGAUCUGUGAUUCAAGAUUUGGGAUACAAUUUUUUUUAUAUGUUUUUAUGGUUUAUUUUCAUUAUUUUAUAUUGGUGGAACCAAAACUUUAUUCACAAUCAAUUAUUCAGAAUAACACAUAAUAGAGUAUGGUUGAUCUUAUCACAUGAAUUGAGAAUUUUGGGUG